GACGUAGGGUGCGAGCGUUGUCCGGAUUUAUUGGGCGUAAAGAGCUCGUAGGCGGCUCGUCGCGUCGACCGUGAAAACCCGCGGCUUAACUGCGGGCUUGCGGUUGAUACGGGCGGGCUAGAGUUCGGUAGGGGAGACUGGAAUUCCUGGUGUAGCGGUGAAAUGCGCAGAUAUCAGGAGGAACACCGGUGGCGAAGGCGGGUCUCUGGGCCGAUACUGACGCUGAGGAGCGGAAGCGUGGGGAGCGAACAGG
rnacentral:rRNA from 1 species